UUUGAUCCUGGCUCAGGAUGAACGCUAGCUACAGGCUUAACACAUGCAAGUCGAGGGGCAGCAUGAAGUUUGCUUGCAAACUUGAUGGCGACCGGCGCACGGGUGAGUAACGCGUAUCCAACCUUCCCCUUAGUAGGGCAUAGCCCGGCGAAAGUCGGAUUAAUACCCUAUGUUCUUCGUAGAGGACAUCUGAAAUGAAGCAAAGGUUUACCGCUAAGGGAUGGGGAUGCGUCUGAUUAGGUAGUAGGCGGGGUAACGGCCCACCUAGCCUGCGAUCAGUAGGGGUUCUGAGAGGAAGGUCCCCCACAUUGGAACUGAGACACGGUCCAAACUCCUACGGGAGGCAGCAGUGAGGAAUAUUGGUCAAUGGGCGGGAGCCUGAACCAGCCAAGUAGCCGUGCAGGAUGACGGCCCUAUGGGUUGUAAACUGCUUUUAUCAGGGGAUAAAGUGAGGGACGUGUCCCUUUUUGUAGGUACCUGAUGAAUAAGGACCGGCUAAUUCCGUGCCAGCCGCGGC
rnacentral:rRNA from 1 species